GAUUAUGGCGACUGCGUUAGGACAGUAAUGAGUUUGAACCGGGAGCCUGUUGCUGGUGCGGAAGCGCGCACAUGUGCACGGCUUUCGUGCUCAAUCCACUCAACCCCUGUGCACCUUUGCGAAGCUAGUAGUUUUUUUCUUCUUCUUCUCUUGAUUUGGCUGUAUGCGAGCCUGCCUUGUUUUGCGCGGGUUCACUUGGCCGGAGGGAGGAGGAGGAGGAGGGAGCGAACACUUUGAUUUUUAUUACAAACACAUUGUAUGUCUUGUGGAAUGUAAUGCUCCUUGUGGGCGAAAGAAAUGAAAUACAACUUUCAACAACGGAUCUCUUGGCUCUCGCAUCGAUGAAGAACGCAGCGAAAUGCGAUAAGUAAUGUGAAUUGCAGAAUUCAGUGAAUCAUCGAAUCUUUGAACGCACCUUGCGCCCCUUGGUAUUCCGAGGGGCAUGCCUGUUUGAGUGUCAUGUUAAUCUCAAACCUCGAGUCUUUCUUAACCGGAGAGACUUCGGCUGGUUUGGACUUGGAGGAUCACUGCUGGCUCGCUCUCUUUGUAGUCGGCUCCUCUUAAAUGCAUUAGCCGGACUUUGGUUCGCAUUGACGGUGUAAUAGUCAUAUAAACUUGUUCGCCGGGGUGCUUGCCUAAAGAGUCUGCUUCUAAUCGCCCGUUGUUAAAUGGGCAAGGUCGUCGGUUGACCUUGUUGAACACUUUGACCUCAAAUCAGGUAGGAUUACCCGCUGAACUUAAGCUACUAA
rnacentral:rRNA from 1 species